rnacentral:rRNA from 1 species
CUUGACUCUAUAAGAGGUCCAGCCUGCCCAGUGACCCAGUUCAACGGCCGCGGUAUCCUAACCGUGCAAAGGUAGCGUAAUCACUUGUCUUCUAAAUAAAGACUAGUAUGAAAGGCACCACGAGAACUAAACUGUCUCCUUUUUCCAAUCAGUGAACCUAAUCUCCCCGUGAAGAAGCGGGAAUUUUGUAAUAAGACGAGAAGACCCUAUGGAGCUUUAAACAUCAUAAUCACCUGCCCACAAACCAAGACACUCAGGUCCCCUUACCUAAAUCCAUGAUGAUUAUAUGUUUUUGGUUGGGGUGACCGCGGAGAAAAAUCUAUCCCCCGCGAUGAAACCUACCCAAACAACAAGCCACAGCUUUAUGUAUCAACAAAUUGACACUAUUGACCCAAUAUAUUGAUUAACGAAC